rnacentral:rRNA from 1 species
UACAGAGGGGGCAAGCGUUAUUCGGAAUUAUUGGGCGUAAAGGGCGCGUAGGCGGCUUGGCAAGUGGAUGGUGAAAUCCCUCGGCUUAACCGAGGAACUGCCGUCCAAACUGCUUCGCUUGAGACCGGGAGAGGUGAGUGGAAUUCCCAGUGUAGCGGUGAAAUGCGUAGAUAUUGGGAGGAACACCAGUGGCGAAGGCGGCUCACUGGACCGGUACUGACGCUGAUGCGCGAAAGCGUGGGAGCAAACGGGG